AUGAACGCUGGCGGCGUGCCUAAUACCUGCAAGUCGAGCGAACAGACGAGGAGCUUGCUCCUCUGACGUUAGCGGCGGACGGGUGAGUAACACGUGGAUAACCUACCUAUAAGACUGGGAUAACUUCGGGAAACCGGAGCUAAUACCGGAUAAUAUAUUGAACCGCAUGGUUCAAUAGUGAAAGACGGUUUUGCUGUCACUUAUAGAUGGAUCCGCGCCGCAUUAGCUAGUUGGUAAGGUAACGGCUUACCAAGGCAACGAUGCGUAGCCGACCUGAGAGGGUGAUCGGCCACACUGGAACUGAGACACGGUCCAGACUCCUACGGGAGGCAGCAGUAGGGAAUCUUCCGCAAUGGGCGAAAGCCUGACGAAGCAACGCCGCGUGAGUGAUGAAGGUCUUCGGAUCGUAAAACUCUGUUAUUAGGGAAGAACAAAUGUGUAAGUAACUAUGCACGUCUUGACGGUACCUAAUCAGAAAGCCACGGCUAACUACGUG
rnacentral:rRNA from 1 species